GCUGUGAUGAAUCUUACAGUAUUGAUCAGCUGAAGUGAUAUUACUUUCAUAAUCCUCUAAGAAGUACUGAGCAC
ensembl:snoRNA SNORD61 small nucleolar RNA, C/D box 61